GCAAAGGCACCUUUAAAGUCAGAGUAUGUGGUACAGCCAAACCUGGAGGUCACAAAACAUGCAAACAUAGUAUCCAUAUUCUUGAAAAUUUCUUCUCCCUGCCUCAACAACUACUGGGGGUUGGAUGCAGGGCUCUUAUCUUCAACGGAUUCACACAUUUGUUCAUGAUGGCCGGCUGCGUGUUUGUCUGAUUCUCUUGUUUGAAUUGAACCAUACAGCUAGCCAUUUCUGCAGUAUAGCAGUUUUCAAAUUAUGAUUAAAUCUUUCUCUUCUUACAUUUUAUGAGUUUUAAUGGCACUUAUAUCUCGUAAUUGCUCAUUCUUGUUAGUAUUGUCUUGUUUUUCUGAUAAAAAUGCCUGAUAUAAUUACAGUUUAUUGAAAAUCAUGUCAUUUUUUUUUUAUAUAUAUAUAUGCUAUUGGGGGAUAACUUUCUAACCUUCCUUUCCUGCACAUUCCCAUUUAUUCGUA